rnacentral:misc_RNA from 1 species
UCCGGUUUGUCACCGGCAGUCACCUUAGAGUGCCCACCCGAAGUGCUGGCAACUAAGAUCAAGGGUUGCGCUCGUUGCGGGACUUAACCCAACAUCUCACGACACGAGCUGACGACAACCAUGCACCACCUGUCUAGCAUGUCCCGAAGGAAAGCCCUAUCUCUAGGACGGUCAUGCUGAUGUCAAGACCUGGUAAGGUUCUUCGCGUUGCUUCGAAUUAAACCACAUACUCCACUGCUUGUGCGGGUCCCCGUCAAUUCCUUUGAGUUUCAGUCUUGCGACCGUACUCCCCAGGCGGAGUGCUUAAUGUGUUAACUUCGGCACCAAGGGUAUCGAAACCCCUAACACCUAGCACUCAUCGUUUACGGCGUGGACUAC